rnacentral:rRNA from 1 species
UGGGGAAUUUUGGACAAUGGGGGAAACCCUGAUCCAGCCAUCCCGCGUGUUCGAUGAAGGCCUUCGGGUUGUAAAGCACUUUUGGCAGGAAAGAAACGUCAUGGGUUAAUACCCCGUGAAACUGACGGUACCUGCAGAAUAAGCACCGGCUAACUACGUGCCAGCAGCCGCGGUAAUACGUAGGGUGCAAGCGUUAAUCGGAAUUACUGGGCGUAAAGCGUGCGCAGGCGGUUCGGAAAGAAAGAUGUGAAAUCCCAGAGCUCAACUUUGGAACUGCAUUUUUAACUACCGGGCUAGGGUGUGUCAGAGGGAGGUGGAAUUCCGCGUGUAGCAGUGAAAUGCGUAGAUAUGCGGAGGAACACCGAUGGCGAAGGCAGCCUCCUGGGAUAACACUGACGCUCAUGCACGAAAGCGUGGGGAGCAAACAGG